CUGGAGGGAUAAACAAACCGUGGCUCGAGCCCAGCCCUCCGCCUGCUGGCUGCUCCCCGCCCCCCUCCAUCCGCAGUGCACAGUCGCUCUGUUCUCCUGCCAACUUGGCAGCUCGGCUCUGCUGUUACUAUCAACACCUCCCAGGGAAGAGGGAGAGGAGUGAGUUCUGAUCGCCCGGCGCACCGAGCAGCAAAUUCGUGUCAGAGCCAGCCCCGGAAUGUCUCCCAAGGCUCCAGGACCCCGUCUCCCAGAUGUGAAACCAAUCCUAAGGCCAUCUCUAUUCCCUGCUCCAAAAGUCCAGAAACUACUACCAGGAGAGACACAGCCAUUUCCUGCUUCAAGAGCACGCCUUGUGCUGAGACUUGACACUGAAAAUGCUUUCAUGGGUUUUUUUCCCCCUGAAAAAGAUUGCACACUCCAAAAAUCCA